AUGUUAUUGGCAUUUGAUUUGACUGGAGGCAGAAUAAUAAUUCACCUAUGACAUUAUUUUAGCAAUUGAGAUGGAGUGGAAACAACUUGAAAAAAGACAAAGAAGAAGCAUUAAAGAUUUAACUUAAUCUUAUUUAAAAAUCACUAAAUUUGGAGGCUGGUGGAGAUUUGUGAUAAAAGAAAACAGUGAGCAGAAGAUUACUGAACCCAGGUCCUUAUGGAAGGUGUCACCAACAAUGGUUACCCAGAAUGAAAUACCAAGUAAAGUGUCACAGAUAGAUUACCGCUCAUGACAAAGAGGAGAUUUGCUUAACUGAGACUCAGAACAAUCUUGGAACGGGUGAUAGCGUGUGGUGCCUCCGGAAUGAUGGGAUUGGUGAAAUGUAUCCUGUUUGCAUUCACUUUUACUCCGAGAAAGAUGAGAAGAGUCAUUAAAGGAUUCCCUCUGGAGGUUCCGGACACAGUAGCUAUCAAGCUGGUAACUCCUAAGUGGGUUAGAUGUUUGUGGAUUAGACCACAGCUCUACUGCCACUCUUAAAUGUGCUUGCCUGUGUAAUUUAUGGGCCUGAAAGCCUGAGAAUUUCACUUCCCAGUGCUUGGCAGCUGGUUUCUAGUUAGGUUAUUCCACUAUAAAAUAUUGGCAGGACAUUAGAAGGUGAGUGAAACUAUUUCCUCCCUUCUGUUUUUGGCUGUGACACCAAUGUCAGCAGUCCAUCUGUGACACCAGCAGCUUUUGCUAUGAUGCGGACCAUAUUGUAGAGAUUUUAUGGUUCUCUCUGUGGCAAGGUAUCCUUU
rnacentral:lncRNA from 1 species